rnacentral:rRNA from 1 species
CACGUAGGGGGCAAGCGUUGUCCGGAUUUAUUGGGCGUAAAGAGCUCGUAGGUGGUUCGGUAAGUCAGGUGUGAAACCUCCAGGCUCAACCUGGAGACGCCACUUGAUACUGCUGUGACUGGAGUCCGGUAGGGGAGCGUGGAAUUCCUGGUGUAGCGGUGAAAUGCGCAGAUAUCAGGAGGAACACCAAUGGCGAAGGCAGCUCGCUGGGACGUGACUGACGCUGAGACGCGAAAGCGUGGGGAGCAAACAGG